rnacentral:rRNA from 1 species
UUUUAUUUGAGAGUUUGAUCCUGGCUCAGGAUGAACGCUGGCGGCGUGCCUAACACAUGCAAGUCGAGCGAUCUUCUUCGGAAGAGAGCGGCGGACGGGUGAGUAACGCGUGGGUAACCUGCCCUGUACACACGGAUAACAUACCGAAAGGUAUGCUAAUACGGGAUAACAUACUUUUAUCGCAUGGUAGAAGUAUCAAAGCUCCGGCGGUACAGGAUGGACCCGCG